CCCAGACUCCUACGGGAGGCAGCAGUGGGGGAUAUUGCACAAUGGGGGAAACCCUGAUGCAGCGACGCCGCGUGAGUGAAGAAGUAUUUCGGUAUGUAAAGCUCUAUCAGCAGGGAAGAAAAAAGACGGUACCUGACUAAGAAGCCCCGGCUAACUACGUGCCAGCAGCCGCGGUAAUACGUAGGGGGCAAGCGUUAUCCGGAUUUACUGGGUGUAAAGGGAGCGUAGACGGCAAUACAAGUCGGAAGUGAAAUACCCGGGCUCAACCUGGGAACUGCUUUGGAAACUGUAUGGCUGGAGUGCUGGAGAGGUAAGCGGAAUUCCUAGUGUAGCGGUGAAAUGCGUAGAUAUUAGGAGGAACACCAGUGGCGAAGGCGGCUUACUGGACAGUAACUGACGUUGAGGCUCGAAAGCGUGGGGAGCAAACAGGAUUAGAUACCCGGGUACAA
rnacentral:rRNA from 1 species